AACUUUGCGCAGUGGCAGUAUCAUGGCCAAUGAGGUUAAUCUGAGGUGCGACUAUUGCUAAUUGAAACAUUCUACGAAACUCCUCUCACAGGGGCUAUUUCAGGCCCUUUGGUAAGAGAGGAUAUAAGAAAAUUGUGCAUAAAG
rnacentral:snRNA from 1 species